rnacentral:rRNA from 1 species
UACGUAGGGGGCUAGCGUUGUCCGGAAUCAUUGGGCGUAAAGAGCGUGUAGGCGGUCCGGUAAGUCCGCUGUGAAAGUCCAGGGCUCAACCCUGGAAUGCCGAUGGAUACUGCCGGGCUAGAGUUCGGAAGAGGCGAGUGGAAUUCCUGGUGUAGCGGUGGAAUGCGCAGGAUAUCAGGAGGAACACCUAUAGCGAAGGCAGCUCGCUGGGACGACACUGACGCUGGAGACGCGAAAGCGUGGGGAGCGAACAGG